GACGAACGCUGGCGGCGUGCUUAACACAUGCCGGUCGAACGGAAAGGCCCUGCUUUUGUGGGGUGCUCGAGUGGCGAACGGGUGAGUAACACGUGAGUAACCUGCCCUUGACUUUGGGAUAACUUCAGGAAACUGGGGCUAAUACCGGAUAGGAGCUCCUGCUGCAUGGUGGGGGUUGGAAAGUUUCGGCGGUUGGGGAUGGACUCGCGGCUUAUCAGCUUGUUGGUGGGGUAGUGGCUUACCAAGGCUUUGACGGGUAGCCGGUCUGAGAGGGUGACCGGCCACAUUGGGACUGAGAUACGGCCCAGACUCCUACGGGAGGCAGCAGUGGGGAAUAUUGCACAAUGGGCGGAAGCCUGAUGCAGCAACGCCGCGUGCGGGAUGACGGCCUUCGGGUUGUAAACCGCUUUCGCCUGUGACGAAGCGUGAGUGACGGUAAUGGGUAAAGAAGCACCGGCUAACUACGUG
rnacentral:rRNA from 1 species